rnacentral:rRNA from 1 species
GGUGCGAGCGUUGUCCGGAAUCAUUGGGCGUAAAGGGCGCGUAGGUGGCCCGGUCAGCGUGCGGUGAAAGCUCGGGGCUCAACCCCGAGUCGGCCGUGCGAACUGCUGGGCUGGAGCACGGUAGGGGCAGAGGGAAUUUCCGGUGGAGCGGUGAAAUGCAUUGAGAUCGGAAAGAACACCAACGGCGAAAGCACUCUGCUGGGCCGACACUGACACUGAGAGACGAAAGCUAGGGGAGCAAAUGGG